rnacentral:rRNA from 1 species
UGGUGCCAGCAGCCGCGGUAAUUCCAGCUCCAAUAGCGUAUAUUAAAGUUGUUGCAGUUAAAAAGCUCGUAGUUGAAUUUCGGGAUUAGUACGUUGGUCGUGCCUUAGGUACGUACUGGUGUUACUGGUUCCUACCUUCUGACGAACCAUCAUGUCAUUAAUUUGGUGUGGCGGGGAAUCAGGACUGUUACUUUGGAAAAAUUAGAGUGUUUAAAGCAGGCUCGCGCUUGAAUACAUUAGCAUGGAAUAAUGAAAUAGGACGUUGACCCUAUUUUGUUGGUUUCUAGGAUUGACGUAAUGAUUAAUAGGGAUAGUUGGGGGCAUUAGUAUUCAAUUGUCAGAGGUGAAAUUCUUGGAUUUAUUGAAGACUAACUACUGCGAAAGCAUUUGCCAAGGAUGUUUUCAUUAAUCAAGAACGAAAGUUAGGGGAUCGAAGACGAUCAGAUACCGUCGUAGUCUUAACCAUAAACUAUGCCGACUAGGGA